AGUUUGAUCAUGGCUCAGGACGAACGCUGGCGGCGUGCUUAACACAUGCAAGUCGAACGAUGAACCACUUCGGUGGGGAUUAGUGGCGAACGGGUGAGUAACACGUGGGCAAUCUGCCCUGCACUCUGGGACAAGCCCUGGAAACGGGGUCUAAUACCGGAUACUGACCCUCGCAGGCAUCUGCGAGGUUCGAAAGCUCCGGCGGUGCAGGAUGAGCCCGCGGCCUAUCAGCUUGUUGGUGAGGUAAUGGCUCACCAAGGCGACGACGGGUAGCCGGCCUGAGAGGGCGACCGGCCACACUGGGACUGAGACACGGCCCAGACUCCUACGGGAGGCAGCAGUGGGGAAUAUUGCACAAUGGGCGAAAGCCUGAUGCAGCGACGCCGCGUGAGGGAUGACGGCCUUCGGGUUGUAAACCUCUUUCAGCAG
rnacentral:rRNA from 1 species